rnacentral:rRNA from 1 species
CCUACGGGUGGCAGCAGUCGAGAAUCAUUCACAAUGGGGGAAACCCUGAUGGUGCGACGCCGCGUGGGGGAAUGAAGGUCUUCGGAUUGUAAACCCCUGUCAUGUGGGAGCAAAUUAAAAAGAUAGUACCACAAGAGGAAGAGACGGCUAACUCUGUGCCAGCAGCCGCGGUAAUACAGAGGUCUCAAGCGUUGUUCGGAAUCACUGGGCGUAAAGCGUGCGUAGGCUGUUUCGUAAGUCGUGUGUGAAAGGCGCGGGCUCAACCCGCGGACGGCACAUGAUACUGCGAGACUAGAGUAAGGGAGGGGGAACCGGAAUUCUCGGUGUAGCAGUGAAAUGCGUAGAUAUCGAGAGGAACACUCGUGGCGAAGGCGGGUUCCUGGACAUUAACUGACGCUGAGGCACGAAGGCCAGGAGAGCGAAAGGGAUUAGAUACCCCUGUAGUC